CCCCCUCCACUUCUGGACGAGGAUCAAAGAAGAGUCAAAUAUAUCAAUAGAAAUGGUUUAAUAAAGGACCUUCAAGUUUACGUUGAGCAGCACAAAAUGCUGAAUAUUUGGACAGAGAGGGAAAAGGAAAUUUUCAAAGAAAAAUAUAUUGUGGCUCCCAAAGACUUCGAGUUUAUUGCUAAGUUUAUACCAAACAGGUACGU